GGAAUCUUCCGCAAUGGGCGAAAGCCUGACGGAGCAACGCCGCGUGAGUGAUGAAGGUUUUCGGAUCGUAAAGCUCUGUUGCCAGGGAAGAACGUCUUGUAGAGUAACUGCUACAAGAGUGACGGUACCUGAGAAGAAAGCCCCGGCUAACUACGUGCCAGCAGCCGCGGUAAUACGUAGGGGGCAAGCGUUGUCCGGAAUUAUUGGGCGUAAAGCGCGCGCAGGCGGCUCUUUAAGUCUGGUGUUUAAUCCCGAGGCUCAACUUCGGGUCGCACUGGAAACUGGGGAGCUUGAGUGCAGAAGAGGAGAGUGGAAUUCCACGUGUAGCGGUGAAAUGCGUAGAGAUGUGGAGGAACACCAGUGGCGAAGGCGACUCUCUGGGCUGUAACUGACGCUGAGGCGCGAAAGCGUGGGGAGCAAACAGGA
rnacentral:misc_RNA from 1 species